CUUCCAUUCGCUAUAGUGUAUGGCAUGUCGUUGAGUGUGCCUGUUAUGAUAACGUAUCUACUGUCUGGGUCAAUAUGGUGUGAAUGAGGAAGAUAUGCAACAUUUUUUCUAAUUAGUAUCAACGUUCCUUUAGUCUUGUUAGUCGUGGUCGCAUGAAACUGUAUAGGGAAGUCCUGUUGUAAGAUAGUGGGAUGUGAUCCUGUCAUGAAGUGUGUCUCUUGUAGGCACAGCACGCCUGUCUCCUUAUUUUUGAUUUCUUUAUAGAGGAGGUGUCUUUUAACUGGGAUAUUGAGUCCUUUGACAUUAUGUGAGUAGAUUUUCACGGUGGAAGGUGGUCAUAUUUCUGCGUGUGGCCUUGUGUAGUAAGUCUAUGUGAGG